UAAGGAAUAUUGGUCAAUGGAGGCAACUCUGAACCAGCCAUGCCGCGUGCAGGAAGACAGCCCUCUGGGUCGUAAACUGCUUUUAUUCGGGAAUAAACCACAUUACGUGUAGUGUGCUGAAUGUACCGAAGGAAUAAGGAUCGGCUAACUCCGUGCCAGCAGCCGCGAUAGUACGGAGGAUCCAAGCGUUAUCCGGAUUUAUUGGGUUUAAAGGGUGCGUAGGCGGCUUAUUAAGUCAGGGGUGAAAGACGGUGGCUCAACCAUCGCAGUGCCUUUGAUACUGAUGAGCUUGAAUACACUAGAGGUAGGCGGAAUGUGACAAGUAGCGGUGAAAUGCAUAGAUAUGUCACAGAACACCGAUUGCGAAGGCAGCUUACUAUGGUGUGAUUGACGCUGAGGCACGAAAGCGUGGGGAUCAAACAGG
rnacentral:rRNA from 1 species